rnacentral:lncRNA from 1 species
UCAUACAAAAGGUACUGAUAAACUUCUCAACAAAAGGUUAAGAAGAAAACUGGAAAGGAUGAUCAUCUCAUACAGAAGGUAACAAUGGAUCCUUAGAAAUUGAAGAUUUCCAUGCAAAAGGCAAAGGUACUUACAAAAGGUAAGCGGGUUCAGGAAUAGAAAUCCUCUAGCAAACGGAUGAUGAGACUUACAAAAGGUAAGCAACUAAGGUGAUAGUCUUUAUGCGAAAGGCACAAAAGGGACUCAAAAAAGGUAAGCAAU